rnacentral:lncRNA from 1 species
CUCAUUAUUUUAAAUAUUGUGUUGAUGUUCUGAUUAAUUAGUCACAACUAUUGUUCUUGUCAAAAGCUCCUCUGACAACUCUUUUUGUUAAUGCCUUUUCCAAUUCAGAAUAAUGAAACAGAUUGUAACAGAUUAUGUCUUUCACAUAAAAUCUGCCUUUCAGGUUUCCUAAAAGGCCACUGAGCAAGCACAAAGAUUUGCUCUUUCGCUUACAAAAGAUACUAGAAACAAUCAGGUUUCUUUGACAUAAUCCAGAAUUUACUUAGCCCAAAACUACUAUGACUGUGUUUUUGUUUAUAUAACCCCAGGUAUAUUAAAAACCAAAAGCUGACAAUAAAAAGAGAAGUUUGGCCUUUCUAGGCUAAUAAGUUACUUGUUAUUAAAAGGUACCUGUCCCAGCAAUAAUGUACUUGUCAAGUUGGAGAAGAUGUAUAUUCAUAUUCAUGUACCCACAGGUUAUGACUUUCUAUAAAUUAAUUUUAAGAAAGAUUGUGUACCUAGGUUUAAAUACCCUUGUCAAUUUGGAACAAUCGUAAUACUCUUUCAUUGUCCAUAAUGUGUUUUGACUUCAAGGUAGUCACUUACUUUAUCCUUAUAAAUUAAUUAGGUUUUAUACCUCAAUAGAGGAUUUAAUUUUUUUCCAUUAUGAAGUUGUUGUUUAUUAUAUUAAAUUAACCAGAGCCAUUGAGCCUUAACAACUACAAGAAGGUUUUUCCAAACUCAAAUCUACUGACAUUUGGGCCCAAAUCAUUCUUGGUUGUGCGGGGUUUUCAUGUGCCUUGCCUGUUGAUGACUGUAUAACAUUUUGGUUGAGCUAUUAAAUGAUGGAUGAUUAUUGUGAUGUGAAUGUGGGAAGUAAGUUUAAUCAUAUAUAGUUGGUCACAGGUCUAAACUGCACUAUUGCUGUUUCAUUUAACAAUGUCUUGCUGCUUUUUAUGCAUUAACAUUUGGGUGUAAAGAUUCUGUGGAUAACCAAAACAAAGCCACAGUAUUUAAGCUGACCAACCUAAUAUUCCAACUGAAUAUGGAGGUGACCAAUUAUGAACUAAAAGGAGUACAGUUUUGUACAACAUAGCAUCAGUAGUUUAGCGAAUUUUAAUUUCUAUGUAAGGCUUAGAUUUUAAUUUAACAUUAUAGAUUUAGAUUUAACAUUUUAGUUACUUACUACUUAUGUUUUAUGUAAGGUUUUACAGUGUCAGUAAAUAAAUAUGGGUUUAACUUCUUAAAUGUCAAGAAAAAUCAUUGAGGACCCAAAAGACUUUUAGUUUAUGUAGUUAUAUAUUUUGAUAUUUGUCAUGUUAAAAAUUUAAACAGAGAAAUUUUAAGAUAUUUACUAAUUCACUUAAAAUAACAAUAAACCAUUAACUGUUAACAUAAAUGAUUUGUUAUAAAAAUAAUCUUUUCUAAAACAAAACAAAAGAUGUUUUAAAUUUUUUCAAAUCUUUUAAAUGGAUGGUUUAAUAAAAGACACCUGGAUUCUCAUAUCUGCUUCUGCAUUCAAUCUAUGGCAAUAUGUUAUUUAGGUUGAAAUAUAUGAAGAAAAUCAUAUAUAUGAAGUAUAUGAAGAAAAUCUAGCCUCUCAUGGUACAUAGUUGGAAAAUGGCAGAAUAUUUUACUAGUCCAUGCAGAUAACUGUGGAUAUUUUUCUUUGACACCACCCUAAAACUUAAGAAAUGGUAGUGUCUGGCAGGUUAAGUACAAUGUGGAAUAUAAAAUCAUAUCUGUGAACUUUUCAUACUAUGUUACAUUGCACUUUGAAUAAUCUUUUAUCCAUGUGUAAUUUUGUAACAUCAUACACUGGUCAUUUGGAAAAUACUGAUUCAAAGAGUUAUGCAGAUCUUUGAAAUGUUGACGUAGUUCACUAUACAACAUCAAAAAAUCACAUGUUAAUAUUACCACCCAUCUCAUAAAAAAUCUUAAUGUAUUAGGAAGCUAUAAAGCUCAAAAUUAUGAAUAAACAUUUUACAAAAUUCUAAUUUUAACAUGACAGAUUGAAUUAUAUCAUUGGCAACAAAUAUUAGUUAUUUUUGAAGUGACAGGCUCACUUGCAAGAAAAUGUUUUCCUACUGCCCAAGUCUGAACAAACAAAGUUUUUCAUUCUUUGGUGAAAAAUAUGGUGUUUUGUCAAAAAAGCAGUUGGUUUAACUCACAAUUUUUUUGGGGGUGGGGACGUAGUCUCACUUUGUCACCAGGCACUUCCAUAACAACAAGGGGAGUGCUGGAUGAAUAAAGAGGCUACUAUUCUUAGGUGAAAGAGUGGCUCGUGCAAGCCACCAUCCCCCAUUUCUCAGUCCAGCCAAUGCUAUGGGAUGACAGGCCUAUGUGCCUGGAAUGCUGUGUACCAACUAAUCACUUCCUUCACUCCUCAGCUCCACCACAGCUGUGGGGAGAGCAGCCUGUAUUCCUGGAACAGCCGGUUGGGACCUGGGUGGGCAGCGUGACCUUGUCUUCCAAAAAAUUCAGGGUUGUGCAGUUUGGUGGGUUUUGUGUUACCUUGAGGGACCAGCACAGAUAACUGCCUUGAUUUUAGCCCCAUCAGCCACAGCAGCUUUCCCCAGAAGUAUCUAUUGGAAGAUUUAAAGGGCUAAUGGACCUUUUUUUCCUCCCCUUUUUACAGCCAGAUAUUUAAGUAAAUCUUUG